UACAGAGGUCUCAAGCGUUGUUCGGAUUCAUUGGGCGUAAAGGGUGCGUAGGCGGCGUCGUAAGUCGGGUGUGAAAUCUCGGGGCUUAACUCCGAAAUUGCAUUCGAUACUGCGGCGCUUGAGGACUGGAGAGGAGACUGGAAUUCACGGUGUAGCAGUGAAAUGCGUAGAUAUCGUGAGGAAGACCGGUGGCGAAGGCGGGUCUCUGGACAGUUCCUGACGCUGAGGCACGAAGGCCAGGGGAGCAAACGGG
rnacentral:rRNA from 1 species